CAUCUAAGCACGAAACUUGCCCCGAGAUGAGUUCUCCCUGACCCUUUAAGGGUCCUGAAGGAACGUUGAAGACGACGACGUUGAUAGGCCGGGGGUGUAAGCGCAGCGAUGCGUUGAGCUAACCGGUACUAAUGAACCGUGAGGCUUAACCUUACAACGCCGAAGGUGUUU
rnacentral:rRNA from 1 species